GCUUCAAACUCAAAAUUCUCUCGUGUCACCAAAUAUUUUUCUCCUUCUUCUAAUGCUAUAGUCUGUAGGAUUUGAAUAUGAUCAUUGUGUUGUUACUCUGCAUCCUCAUCAUUGUGUGUGAGAUGAGGAGUGGUUGAGUGUGAUUGAUGAUGAAAGAAAUUACAGAUAGAAAAAAUUAGAGAGAUUGAGAGCAAUUGAGAAUUUGCAGUGAGUGUGUGAUUUUAAAAUUGUGGUUCCUCAUAUUUGAAGGUGAGUGAGUGAAUUUAUAUAGAUGAUAAUGCAACUGAAUGAGGCAAUGAUCCGGGCAUGGCUAGUUACAACUUAGGACACUAUUAUGGUUAACGAAUCUCAAGAGGAAGUUAGUUAAUGUUAGUAACAUUGUUACAUAUUCUGUUGAUAGCAGUUUAGGAUUGAAGUGUUAGUUAGGAGUAGAAAUAACUUUGAAUUUGGCUAUAUUUUCUAAGUGACAUGAUGAAUUAGUCAAUGUUAGUGAUUUUUGAAUGUUAGGAACUAUUAGAAUUAGCUUGAAAAAACAGUUAGUUAAGUUAGUAAAGUUACAGUUAGUGAUAGUUGAAUUGUUAUUGAAUAAGUCUUAUGGUGAGUUAGGAUUAACUUGUUGGAAUGUAGGGAUGUUAGUUGUAUGUUAUGAGAAAUGGUUAGUUAUUGUUGAAUUAUAUAACUGACAAUUAGAGUUAGUUGUGAAUUGUCAAAAUUAUGCAAGUUAGUGAUAAAUUGUCGACGGUUAGAAAUUAAAUUGUAAGCAUUGAAAAGUUAGUUAGGUUAAUCUAUUUAGAACGUUUGAAUUUAGUUAAUCUAUUUAUCUGUUUCAUGUGACUCAAAUGGAUGAUGUGCAAGUGAGAGAAAACUUGUCUAUUGAGGCAUAUUCUAAUGAGGGUAUCAUCACAACGGAAAUACUCAAUUAAAACACACCAAUUUAAAUCUCAUAAUAAAUCUCAUUUCAUAAUUAAAAAGCAUUGAUUCGUAAGUCUUCUCCCAAUGCUUGUCACACGAAAACAUAAAAUACGAUUGUAUACAUUGUCUCUCGGAAAUCUCAACCUGAAACAAAGAAAACGCUCCCCAGUUUUACAUAUUAGAGCAUAACCAAAGCUAAAACAAAGAAACUAAAAGAAAUAUCUUUAGGAGCUAGCUUCCACUUUUUCCGCAGCAAAAAAUACCUGAGUGGAUCGCAUGCUCGAAGAUACAAUAGAGUCACCACCAAACUUUAUUUACUCCUAAAGGAAAAGGAAAAUAUAGAUAAAAUCCAGGGGAAGAGAAAAAGGGUAAGGAAGUCAGUUAUGCAAGGGGAAGGUAUUAGCACCCCUCACACCCAUUGUACUAAAUGGGAACCAUUUUGAUUAAUAUGCUUUCCACGGAUUCAAAUCCUUGUGCUCAUGUAUUCUCAUAGUGUAAUGAGAAAAUCAGAGCCCCGCAGUUCAUGGUAGAAAAUAUGGAUGUGUUGGUUGAUUUUAGGGAACAUUUAUAAUCGUAUCCUAGAAGUGUGUAGACGUUAGCUGAUUUUGAUCCUUGUUCGGAUGCUCUAAGCUUUUUAUUUUACUGCUAAGGAACAUAUUAUAACAGUUCUUUGAUGUAAAGAAAGAAAAUUGUUUUGAAAACCUUUAUGUGAUAAAAGAAAAGAAAAAAGUUGCUUGACUUGAAUUUAAAAGAAAAAUGGUUGCUUGAAUUGUAAAAUGACAUUUACUUGAAGUGUAUAAGAGAGUUGUGGAAUGAGGAAGUUGUGGAAGUAUUGUUUGGACCAAGAGGGUGUGUUUUGAAUCCAUAUGGUAGAUGUGUCUGAAUCAAAGAGUGUGUGACAUUAACCAAUAGAUGGUCUGGCCAAUGCAGAAUUGUAGGAUAUUUCCUAGAUCCAGGGAUCAAGACCUACAAGAAAGAGAAUUUCCAAAGCAUGGAGCUCCACAAGGCGAUGCAUGAAGAUAUUGGUUCAAAGAUGGGUGUUUAACCAUGAGGUGAUUAACCUAAAGAAUGUAUGGAUGUCCAAGAAAAAUAUGUGUUUGGCCCAAAGAAGCAAGUGUAAGAGACAAGUGUAAUAGAUGUUGAUGGUUGAAAUGUUGUCUGUGAGGAAUUAGACUCGAAAGUCGUUUGAUUUCAGUUGCACUAAAGUAUAUGAACGGAGGCAACUACUUUGAAUAACCGAGGCAUACGCCAUGUGCCCAAAUGUACUCAAAAAAGGAUAGGAAUAAUCCCUUUCAUUUUUCUCGGUUGCUUAAGGAUCAUGGCGCAUAAUUUGCAUUAUGAAUGAUAAGUGUUGAAGAAGAAUCUUUUUUGUUGUGCUUGAAUGAUGAGGAAGUGAUUCAGUCUUGAUGUCCAGAGUCUCUAAAGUUUGCAUGCAUGCAGUCUUGAGUUGAAGUGAGACUUCAGAUCCAACGUAGUGAAAGUAUAGAUGUCUAAUCCUAUCAAGUGAUCAAGAGGCUUAUGAUCACUUGACUGGAUAAGUGAAAUAAGUAGGUUAUAGAUAAGUAAUCAAUUGAUCAAAUAUAACUUUGAUCAACUAAUUAAUCAGGAGGACAUGAUCAAGAUAUGGAUUACAAGCAAAUGGAUUUUUAAUUGAGCAAUGCAUGAAGAUAUUAGUUCAGAGAUGGGUGUUUAACCAUGAGGUGAUUAACCCAAAGAAUUUAUGGAUGUCCAAGAAAAAUGUGUGUUUGGUCCAAAUAGGAAAGUGUAAGAGACAAGUGUAAUGGAUGUUGAUGGUUGUAGUGUUGUCUGUGAGGAAUAAGACUUGAAAGUCAUUUGAUUUAUGUUCCACUAAAGUCUAUGAAAGGAGGCAAAUGAUUUAAAUAACUGGGCCUACGCCCCUUACACAAAGAUACUCAUAACAAUGAUAUGAAUAAUCCUUUCAUUUUUCUCAUUUGCUUAAGGCUCGUGGUGCUCAGUUCACAUCAUGACUGACAUGUGUUGAAGAAGAAUAUCUUUUGUUAUGCUUGAAUGAUGAAGCAGCGAUCCAAUCUUGAUGUUUAGAGUCUCCAAAAUUUUCAUGUAUGUAGUCUUAAGUUGAAGUGAGACUAGAGAUCCAGCGUAGUGAAAGUAUAGAUGUCUAAUCCUAUCAAGUGAUCAAGAGGUUUUUGAUCACUUAAAUGAAUAAGGGAAACAAUCAUGUUAUAAACAAGUAAUUAAUUAAUCAAAUAUGACUUUGAUCAACUAAUUAAUCAAGGGGACGUGAUCAAGAUAUGAAUUACAAGUACAUGGAUUUUUAAUUGAACGUAAAUUCUACUUCUAAAGAAAUUAAUGGAGUUUGAUUGAAUUAUUUUCAAAACUAAAUCUACAUAAAUUCUAAUUAAAAUCUAAGUAUUAACAAUUUUUUAUUUUUCAAAUUAUUUAUUAACAAGAAAUAAAAUGUAAUUAUAUGUAUUAAAAGAAAAGACUAAAAUGUAGAGAAAAAGUGUCUUUUUAUGUAUUUAAAAAAAUUGUACUAAUAAGGUGUAUUAAAAUGUUAAAGAAAAAAAAAGACAAAAAUAGAAACUAAAAUGACAACAAAACUAAAAGAAUAAAAAAAUAACAAUUAAAAAAGUGUAAAAUAAAGGUAGGGGGGACAAUUGAUUAAACGGGCGCUGACCCAUGUAUAUGAGGCACAAAGGUUAUUUGUAAAUUUAAUUUCAGUAGCGGGGUGCAACUUGGAAAUAGGGUGCACUCAACAAAAAUAUUGUUGGGCCUGCAGAGGCAAUCCCAAGGUAUUUUUGCAAACCUAGAGGAAGGUGUGAGGUUGUGUAAGGGUGUGAAAAGAAAAUAUGAGGGGGCUUAUUGGGCUUUAGAAGCCCAAACAAAUUUCCAAGAGAGGGGAUUAUUGGGCUUUAGAAGCCCAAACACACUUCAAGUGUCAAGAUUCAAAUCACGUUCCUCUCAUAUCCCUUACUGGAGAACCAACUUUGCCGGGUCGAAAAUCGUCUUUGGCAGCAUCGGAGGUCCAAGUGACCUUAAACCUGUCCCAAAUUGCUCGCCUCUACUCCAUAUCUCAUAAUCUCAAGUCGAUUUCUAUGAAUUCCUAACCGUUUCACCAAAUCAAGCUAGGGAAUUCAAGAACCCUAAAAAUGAAAACUACAAUUAAAUGAAAAUGGCGAAUGUAAUGGAGCUCAAACCUUAGGUGUUUGUCUCCUUGAAAGAGAAGCUACAUCACAGUAAUGGAAAUUAACAAAAAAGCGAAUGAAAUCGGAUGCAACACCAAUCUUCAAGGCGGAGGCGGCCUUGGUAACAUUGUGAAUGAAGAUGAUGAAGCAAGAAGUCCAUAGAUAAACCAGGCUUGGCAUGGAAUGGUACAAUGUGUAUGGUUUUGGUUAGGAGGAUAUUGAACAAGUCAUGGUAUGAAGGGUUUGGUCCAAAAAAAAAUCAUGAAGAACUUGAAGACUUUGGAGACUCACAAGAAUAGGGAUAACUUCUGAAUGAAGAAACUGUAGGAAUUACGGUUAGGAUUUAGUGGUUGACUUUGGUUAACUGUUUGACCAAAAAGUCAACUGUAGGUAAAAAAAUGUGUAAUUUUGUGUAAUUUUCAUGAUUUUGGACUUUGUAAUAUGAUUUGAUAUUUUUUAAUAAAAAUGGCUUGUUUGAAAUGAA